AAUACGAAUUUCGAGGAUGCGGAUUAUCGUAAAUCGAACGAGUACGAGAUGGACAUGGAGACGAAGCUGAGCAAUUUUCUCUCAAUGACACCAAUGAUCUUGUAAAUCUUGGACCGUGCUUGCAACGAUCUUGCGAACGAUCCAUGUUACUCGGCUAGGCGUACCAUCCCUUGUCGCAAUUACAACGUAAAUAAACUGUGUAGCUGUAGCUGUGUAGCUUUUGCGCAGCGAAACAAAUUGUGGGACAAACACAAGGCGAAAUCUCGCAAACACAGACCCUCGAUGGUCGUCUCGACGGACAUCAGUUACGGGACGCACGUUUGCAUGAAAAACAGUCCAAUGUACCAACCGGGAGCGAUCGGCUUCACCAUCGCCAACGGCGUUCCCAAGGUCAGUCAGCUGCUCUUGGCCGCCUGGAACCUCGAUUCAACUUAC